rnacentral:rRNA from 1 species
AUUGAACGCUGGCGGCAUGCCUUACACAUGCAAGUCGAACGGUAACGCGGGGCAACCUGGCGACGAGUGGCGAACGGGUGAGUAAUACAUCGGAACGUGCCCAGUAGUGGGGGAUAGCCCGGCGAAAGCCGGAUUAAUACCGCAUACGACCUACGGGUGAAAGCGGGGGAUCGCAAGACCUCGCGCUAUUGGAGCGGCCGAUGGCAGAUUAGGUUGUUGGUGGGGUAAAAGCCUACCAAGCCGACGAUCUGUAGCUGGUCUGAGAGGACGACCAGCCACACUGGGACUGAGACACGGCCCAGACUCCUACGGGAGGCAGCAGUGGGGAAUUUUUGGACAAUGGGCGCAAGCCUGAUCCAGCAAUGCCGCGUGCGGGAGAAAGCCUCGGUUGUAACGCUUUGUCAGGAGAAUACUCCUGGCUAAUACUCGGGGGAGUGACGGUACC